rnacentral:tRNA from 1 species
GCGCCAAUGGUUUAGUGGUAAAAUACAGCUUUGCCAUCUACAAAGAUGUAGCUGUGCCGGGGGUUCGAUUCCCCCUUGGCGCA